ACGGAGGAACCGAAAAUCCAUAAUAGAGUAGGAA
ncrna:unclassified sequences DTF805b RNA